rnacentral:scRNA from 1 species
UUUCGUCAACAUUUUAACCAUGGAACACCUGA